CUCUUGCUGUUGAUCUUUGAACAUAAUCAUAAGAAUGUGCAUCUGAAAUGAAAUGAAAUGUUCUUCAUUUACCUUUGUAGCUACUACUGUGGCAGCAGGUGGAAGUACUUCUGGUGGUCCAAAAAGUUCCAGUCCAGGUACCUCCCAGGAAGCAUCUGAAACGACCACUGCUUUUGGAAUUUCUACCCUGGAAACCACUAUAGUAGCAGCAGGAGAUCAAAAAAAUAAAA